rnacentral:rRNA from 1 species
GAUGAACGCUGGCGGCGUGCCUAAUACAUGCAAGUCGAGCGAACGGACGAGAAGCUUGCUUCUCUGAUGUUAGCGGCGGACGGGUGAGUAACACGUGGGUAACCUACCUAUAAGACUGGGAUAACUUCGGGAAACCGGAGCUAAUACCGGAUAAUAUUUUGAACCGCAUGGUUCAAAAGUGAAAGACGGUCUUGCUGUCACUUAUAGAUGGAUCCGCGCUGCAUUAGCUAGUUGGUAAGGUAACGGCUUACCAAGGCAACGAUGCAUAGCCGACCUGAGAGGGUGAUCGGCCACACUGGAACUGAGACACGGUCCAGACUCCUACGGGAGGCAGCAGUAGGGAAUCUUCCGCAAUGGGCGAAAGCCUGACGGAGCAACGCCGCGUGAGUGAUGAAGGUCUUCGGAUCGUAAAACUCUGUUAUUAGGGAAGAACAUAUGUGUAUGUAACUGUGCACAUCUUGACGGUACCUAAUCAGAAAGCCACGGCUAACUACGUG